GUGAGGAAUAUUGGUCAAUGGGCGAGAGCCUGAACCAGCCAAGUCGCGUGAAGGAUGAAGGUUUUAUGAAUUGUAAACUUCUUUUGCAGGGGAAUAAAGUACGGUACGUGUACCGUUUUGUAUGUACUCUGCGAAUAAGGAUCGGCUAACUCCGUGCCAGCAGCCGCGGUAAUACGGAGGAUCCAAGCGUUAUCCGGAUUUAUUGGGUUUAAAGGGUGCGCAGGCGGGUUGAUAAGUCAGCGGUGAAAGUUUGCAGCUUAACUGUAAAAUUGCCGUUGAAACUGUCGAUCUUGAGUGCAAAUGAGGUAAGCGGAAUGUGUUGUGUAGCGGUGAAAUGAUUAGAUAUAACACAGAACACCGAUUGCGAAGGCAGAUUACUGGGAUGCAACUGACGCUCAUGCACGAAAGCGUGGGGAUCAAACAGGAUUAGAAACCCUGGUAGUCC
rnacentral:rRNA from 1 species